rnacentral:rRNA from 1 species
UACGAAGGGGGCGAGCGUUGUUCGGAUUUACUGGGCGUAAAGGGCGCGCAGGCGGUUCUGUUUGUCGAGUGUGAAAGCCCCGGGCUCAACCUGGGAACUGCGCUCGAAACGGCGGAACUAGAGUUCGGGAGAGGAGAGUGGAAUUCCCAGUGUAGAGGUGAAAUUCGUAGAUAUUGGGAAGAACACCGGUGGCGAAGGCGGCUCUCUGGACCGAUACUGACGCUGAGGCGCGAAAGCUAGGGGAGCAAACAGG